rnacentral:ncRNA from 1 species
CAAAGGUUUGGUCCUGGCCUUUUUAUUAGCUCUUAGUAAAAUUACACAUGCAAAUAUCCUUGUCCCAGUGAGAAUGCCCUCUAGAUCAGUUUGAUUAAAAGGAGCAGGUAUCAAGCUCACUACCCAUAGUUGCUCAUAACACCUUGCUCAACCACGCCCCCACGGGAUACAGCAGUGAUUAAUAUUAAGCCUAUGAACGAAAGUUCGACUAAAUUAUACUAACACUCUAGGGUUGGUAAAUUUCGUGCCAGCCACCGCGGUCAUACGAUUAACCCUAGUUAAUAAAAUACGGCGUAAAGCGUGAUUAAUAGGAUACAUAUNCCAAUAAGACUAAGCCUAAACUAAGCUGUAAAAAGCCCUAGUUAUAUUAAAAAUAAUUAAACGAAAGUAGUCUUAUAAAUUUUGAACUCACGAUAGCUAAGACCCAAACUGGGAUUAGAUACCCCACUAUGCUUAGCCCUAAACGUAAAUGCUCAAUUAACAAGAUCAUUCGCCAGAGUACUACCAGCCACAGCUAAAAACUCAAAGGACUUGGCGGUGCUUUACAUCCCUCUAGAGGAGCCUGUUCUAUAAUCGAUAAACCCCGAUACACCUUACCGCCCUUAGCAAUUAUCAGCCUAUAUACCGCCAUCUUCAGCAAACCUUAACAAAGUCUUACAGUAAGCACAAUAAUUAAACAUAAAUACGUUAGGUCAAGGUGUAGCCUAUAGGGUGGAAAGAAAUGGGCUACAUUUUCUACAUUUUAGNNNNNNNNNUUACGAUAGCUUUCAUGAAAUUUAAAGCCCAAGGCGGAUUUAGUAGUAAGUUAAGAAUAGAGAGCUUAGCUGAAUCGGGCAAUAAAGCACGCACACACCGCCCGUCACCCUCUUCAAAUYCUAUAAACNNNNNNNNNNNNNNNNNNNNNNNNNNNCAAUAGCAURAGAAGAGAUAAGUCGUAACAAGGUAAGCAUACUGGAAAGUGUGCUUGGAAUAAU